UACGGAGGGUGCAAACGUUGCUCGGAAUCAUUGGGCGUAAAGCGCACGUAGGCGGCGCAGCAAGUCGGGUGUGAAAUCCCUCGGCUCAACCGAGGAAGUGCAUUCGAAACUACUGUGCUUGAGUACUGAAGAGGGUCGCGGAAUUCCCGGUGUAGAGGUGAAAUUCGUAGAUAUCGGGAGGAACACCAGUGGCGAAGGCGGCGACCUGGGCAGAUACUGACGCUGAGGUGCGAAAGCGUGGGGAGCAAAC
rnacentral:rRNA from 1 species